rnacentral:rRNA from 1 species
GACAGAGGGGGCAAGCGUUGCCCGGAAUUACUGGGCGUAAAGGGCGCGUAGGCGGGAUGGUAAGUCGGUCGUGAAAUCCCUCGGCUCAACCGAGGAACGUCGAUCGAUACUACCGUUCUUGAGGAUUGCAGAGGAGACUGGAAUUCCCGGUGUAGCGGUGAAAUGUGUAGAGAUCGGGAGGAACACCGGUGGCGAAGGCGGGUCUCUGGGCAAUUCCUGACGCUGAGGCGCGAAAGCGUGGGGAGCAAACGGG